rnacentral:lncRNA from 1 species
CCGUGACUUUGAACCAAUUAGUUUGAUUAGGGACACAAGGAAGUGGUGAAGAUGCAUUGUAUCAGAAACCUAUCUUUUUUUGUUCUUUGCUAUGCCAUUAUGUAUGUAGAACAACUUAUUAAUGUAUGGGUUUAUGUUAAUUUACGGCUGAGUUUUCGUUUAAUUACGGCUGAGUUAUCAUUUAAUUAUGUCUAAGUUUUCAUUAAUUUAUAUUGCUGAGUUAUCGUUUAAUUAUGUCUGAGGUAUCGUUAAUUUACGGCUGAGUUAUCGUUUAAUUAUGUCUGAGUUAUCGUUAAUUUACGGCUGAGUUUUCGUUUAAUUUACGGCUGAGUUAUCGUUUAAUUAUGUCUGAGUUAUCGUUAAUUUACGGCUGAGUUAUCGUUUAAUUAUGUCUGAGUUAUGGUUAAUUUACGGCUGAGUUAUGGUUAAUUUACGGCUGGGUUAUCGUUUAAUUAUGUCUGAGUUAUCGUUAAUUUCUGCCUUAUCAAACAUUUUAAAUACUAAAGUAUUAUCGACUCCAUGUUAUAAAGGCCUCGAAAUUAGUUCUGAGCCGUAUUUUCCACACUUUUGAAGCGCCAUAAU